rnacentral:lncRNA from 1 species
ACGAAACUGCAGUGCAUAACCUAGUGAUGCAAUUUUACUUAUCUAGGUACCUUACAUAGUGACCCUAGUAAAAGUAAACCACUGAAGUUGCAAUAUUCAUCUGGGAGUUCCAAUUUUACAUGCUAACUAGAGUAGAAGCAAUCUAGUAUUGUUUAAACGCAAGCAAUGUUACCACACUAAAGAGAGAAUUAAAAUAGCA